rnacentral:misc_RNA from 1 species
AUUUUCUUUUCUCUUAACACCCAUUGACAUAUUUUUCUCCUGUUUUCUUUCUGAGUAUGUGUAACUUCAUUCCAUGCAUUUAUUUAUCUAUUUAAGAGCAUAUGAGGACAUGGACAACUGGAAUCAAGACAUAAAAUAAGUAUGUAUGCUUAUACACAUGAAAUAUUGAAUUGAUCUGCCAAUAAUCAGAGUCGAAUAAUCAACAUAGACAAACAGACAACAUAGAUAAAACUUUUACAUUUCACCUCUCCCACUCCAACUAUAGGAAAUAUCACAAACAAAUUGCAGUCAAAAGAUCUAACGCUAAAUAUUCAGUUAUCCACCAGUACUAACACUCAUUACUAUACCACUUAGGCUUCAACAAAGUAAAACCAUUAAAUUUAAUAAUGAAGAAAGAAGAUUCAAAGAUAUUAUGGACUUGUUUGGAGGAAGUAGGGUCAGGAAGUAGAACUUCCUAGGAGUUGCACCAACAAACAUUGUUAAAACUCAAGAAAAUAAGAAAAUUAUUUUACAAAUAAAAUAAAGUAAUAAGAUAAAUGAAAAAACAAACAUAAUUUGCUACCCAUCCAAUCUGAUCAUUGCCACCCCCCCACCCAAUGUUUCUUCCAUUCCCACCUUCCCCACCAUCUCAAAAUUCACCAACAUGCACCAAUACCAUUUGAUGUAGAGCAAGAAAAAACCAAAGAUCUAGAGAAACAAAUUCUCAAGAUUUAGGGAAGAGAAACAAUUUCUCUAGAGAACCAAUUCUUAAAAUUUUAUUUAAUUUCAAUUGUCAAUAAUGUCAACAUCGGUUAGUGGUCUUGG